AAUUGGAGGGCAAGUCUGGUGCCAGCAGCCGCGGUAAUUCCAGCUCCAAUAGCGUAUAUUAAAGUUGUUGCAGUUAAAAAGCUCGUAGUUGAAGUUCUGAUUGCUCAGGUUUCCAGCCUUAGGCGGAGAUACUGACAGUCAUCCGCUUGCAAACAUAUGUUCGAUCUUCACCGGUUGGCUAUGUGAGUAAGCACUUUACCUUGAGAAAAACAGAGUGUUCCAGGCAGGUUUGUCCGGGAUGCAUUAGCAUGGAAUAAUAGAACAUGACUGAAGUCGAUUUAUUGGUUUAAGGCUUUAGUAAUGAUUAAUAGGAACAGUCGGGGCAUUCGUACUCAGCAGUCAGAGGUGAAAUUCUAAGAUUUGCUGAAGACGAACUAAUGCGAAAGCAUUUGCCAAGGAUGUUUUCAUUAAUCAAGAACG
rnacentral:rRNA from 1 species